AUACGUAGGGUGCGAGCGUUAAUCGGAAUUACUGGGCGUAAAGCGUGCGCAGGCGGUUGUGCAAGACAGAUGUGAAAUCCCCGGGCUUAACCUGGGAACUGCAUUUGUGACUGCACGGCUAGAGUGUGGCAGAGGGGGAUGGAAUUCCGCGUGUAGCAGUGAAAUGCGUAGAUAUGCGGAGGAACACCGAUGGCGAAGGCAAUCCCCUGGGCCUGCACUGACGCUCAUGCACGAAAGCGUGGGGAGCAAACAGGAUUAGAUACCCUGGUAGUCCACGCCCUAAACGAUGUCAACUGGUUGUUGGGGAUUCAUUUCCUCAGUAACGAAGCUAACGCGUGAAGUUGACCGCCUGGGGAGUACGGCCGCAAGGUUGAA
rnacentral:rRNA from 1 species